CACAAAGGGCCACUUUGAGUCGCUUGGUGACAUAAUGAUUAUAGGAGCAUCACCUGCAAACCUACCUUCAGUUUUAGCUCGUGGAUUGGAAUUCCUGGGAAGAUCAUGUUGCUAAGGAACUCUGUUGCACACAUAUUCUCCAUUGUGUUGUAAUUCAUUGUUGCCUUGCACACAGUGUCCAAGUAUAGGAUUGCUCUUUCUUCGAGAAAUUCACGGUUACGAUAGUUUUGCUGCAAGUUUGGAUCGUAAUAUCCAUUCUGCAAAUUCGGCCACAUUUUGCUUUUCUAUUGGAUCUUCUGACAGACUUUAGCCGCAUGUUUUCAGUUAGUCUAAAUAUUUCGAAGUACUUCCAUAGGCCAAAAGUGCUUUGGCGUCACUUCUUCCGAGG